rnacentral:lncRNA from 10 species
CACAAGGUCAUCUCAGUGGGCAGACUAAGGUAGAAAAAAAAUAAAAGGAAUCCAGACAGAACAAAGAAUGAAACUAUGGACACAGGCAUGAGAGAAAUGCACUUAUUUGUGGCAGUACUAUUGCAGAGAUAAUGGGAGAGGUGGUAAGAGCUGAGACUGGAAAAGCAGAGUGGAGCCAGUGUGCAGAGGAUCCAAUAUGGCACCCUAAGGAGUCUGACUUCAUCCUGCAGUGGUGAAUGGGAAAUCAUCUAAGUUUAUUAUUAUUCGUAAGCACAGGGGCAGUGUACAAUUUCUGCGUUGAGAAAGGAGAAUUCUGAAAUGGUAGUUUUGAAUGGUGGAUUUAAAGUGGGAGAUUGAUUUGAGCCUUUAACAUUGCAGUUUAAAAACAAACAGAAUUUUAAAAAGCAAGUGGGAGAUAGAUAUUGAAAGCAGGAAGACCAUUCAGGAGAUAGCCACAAUAGUCUAGAGAGAGAUGGGGAAGGUCAGUUGUAUGUCAGACCAAGCAGCAUGUUUGAAACACUGAAGAAAAAAGCUCCAGUGAUCCACGUAUGAGUGGCCUGACCUACGGAGUAUCGAGGAGAAGGAGAGGAAGGCAAUAGAAAGAACUAGACAUGGGUUGAACUCUUGGUAGCCUGACUAGUGCCUGACUGUUCUUCAAGACUCUCUCCUGAAUAGAUUUGACCUUUUGGACCUUCUAGGGCCCUUUUCAUCACUUGUUACCAGCCAUUGCUACCUCCUGGAGCCCCCUUUAAUCUGGAGCCCCCUUUGAUCACUUGUUACCAGCCAUUGCUACCACCCUGCACCAUUGCAAAGUGGAAUGUACGUGACUCUUCUCAAAGCCCCUAGAACUAUAUACACACAUCAUUGUAGCACUU